UCCUUUAAGGUGAGGCAGGAUGUCAAUGAAUGUUACAUAAUGACGUCGGAAGCUACCGACCUUACGUCAUUCCGAUAUAGUUAUGGCUUUUGAUUGGGCUCUUAUGCAUGCUUUAUAUAUAUGUAUGUAUUUUCUCACACCGCGCCGCGCUAUAGUCGGCCGGGCAGGCACGUAGAUGUGCACACCACUAUAGUGGGCAGCUUAUACCCCGGACGCGGGAGGCCUGGACGCAGGCUAUGAUUAUCACACCGCUCCUACAUGGACGGGCAGCUUAUACAUUAUCACACCGUACCUAUAUGGAUGGGCAGCUUAUAUAUGUAGACGUACAUGACAUGAUAAUGAUUAUGAGUAGACAGGGAGGUGAGCUUGAUCCAGAUUCUUAGUAGCUGUCAGCUGAUUGAGAGCACUCAAUUGUUCGGAGGUGCUUAUGUUUAUUCUUUUGGUUCCUUUAUGUAUUUCGCGCACGACGGAGUCUUGUUCCGUCUAUAUGUAUAAUAUGUCAGUAGAGGCUCGUAGACGCGCAGUGUGGGUUAGAUGGUCUCACAAGAUUACUAUGUUAUAUUUGUAUAUGUUAUUUUGAUGGCCUAAGGGGCACAUGUAUAUAAAAUCAUUUGUGUUGUCAAAUGAAAAAUGGUUGUCUUACGAUUAUGA